CCUGCCUGUAAGCGGGGAAUAACCGUGAAAGACGGACUAAUACGCAUAAUACUAAAUUACUGCAUGGUAAUUUAUUUAAACAUUUAUGGCUUACAGAUGGGCAUGCGCAUGAUUAGCUAGUUGGAGAGGUAACGGCUCCCCAAGGCAACGAUCAUUAGGGGUUCUGAGAGGAAGGUCCCCCACACUGGUACUGAGACACGGACCAGACUCCUACGGGAGGCAGCAGUGAGGAAUAUUGGUCAAUGGACGAGAGUCUGAACCAGCCAAGUCGCGUGCAGGAAGAAUGUCCCUAUGGAUUGUAAACUGCUUUUGCAGGGGAAUAAAGUGCAUCACGUGUGAUGUUUUGUAUGUACUCUGCGAAUAAGGAUCGGCUAACUCCGUGCCAGCCGCCGC
rnacentral:rRNA from 1 species